UGUGACUGUUUUCAGCCACAACAGGUUAUGCAUUCGUCGUAGAUGUUGUCCACAGGGAAGUGCAGUUAGUAACCCGCUUAGGUGACAGUAUAAAACUGGAUCUGGAAAAAACUAACUCAAGCCUUCAAACUGUUAGAGGCUUAAGAUAAAGGAUAAAGAUUAUGAAAAAAAUCUGUUACUGGAAAUUACGUGGGAACGAAAAAAAUGAAGCACCGGCAGCGACUUUCGAUCCAGAGACGUCGCUGCUAUGAAACCAAGCGCUUACUCGCUUGGCUGAGGACUCUUUGAAUGCCAACGAUCAUACUGUACAAAGUAUAUAAGCACUCAUGAAAUA